rnacentral:rRNA from 1 species
UACGGGGGGGGCAAGCGUUGUUCGGAAUUACUGGGCGUAAAGGGCUCGUAGGUGGCCAACUAAGUCAGACGUGAAAUCCCCAGGCUUAACCGGGGAACUGCGUCUGAUACUGGAUGGCUUGAGAUUGGGAGAGGGAUGCGGAAUUCCAGGUGUAGCGGUGAAAUGCGUAGAUAUCUGGAGGAACACCGGUGGCGAAGGCGGCAUCCUGGACCAACACUGACGCUGAGGAGCGAAAGCCAGGGGAGCAAACGGG